rnacentral:rRNA from 1 species
CAGCAGUAGCCGCGGUAAUACAGAGGGUGCGAGCGUUAAUCGGAUUUACUGGGCGUAAAGCGUGCGUAGGCGGCUUUUUAAGUCGGAUGUGAAAUCCCUGAGCUUAACUUAGGAAUUGCAUUCGAUACUGGGAAGCUAGAGUAUGGGAGAGGAUGGUAGAAUUCCAGGUGUAGCGGUGAAAUGCGUAGAGAUCUGGAGGAAUACCGAUGGCGAAGGCAGCCAUCUGGCCUAAUACUGACGCUGAGGUACGAAAGCAUGGGGAGCAAACAGGAUUAGAUACCCCUGUAGUCCCUGUCUCUUAUAC